rnacentral:pre_miRNA from 1 species
UGUAUGCUGUAUGGAGUUGGAACGUUUGCCUACGUUUGCCGCUAGGGGCGCUGUUCCAACUGCAUAAAAAUUUGAGUUA